rnacentral:RNase_MRP_RNA from 1 species
GCAUCUCAUGUGUAUGCAGAUAUGUAAAUAUGUCGUGAUGCUUCCACUGCUCUCUGAAGCAUAUUCUCAAACCAACCUUCAUUUGCAGCGA